CAUGGGGUCACAAAGAAUCAGACACGACUGAGUGGGAACACCAAGAGGAGGCGGGGCCCCACCCAGACCACAUACUGCAUUCUCGUGUCCAGACCUCCCUGACCACGUGCAGAAAGGCUCCUUGGAGGCCAAAGGGGAGUCACGUCAAGGAUGUUCUACCCAGACGCCCUUUCGGUAAAAUCCACCUUGGCUGAGAUGUGUGCGCGUACAUGGGAGGAUCCUGAGAUACAGGGGAAGGGGGCUGGGAGCCAGGCAUGCCAAGGUGACUGGCCGAAGGAAGAAACGCCCCAGAGGAGUGACUGGAGGUGCCACAGGGGGCAACCAGGGGCUGUCCCUCUGAGCUGCCCUGCGCCUGCCUACACACGUCCGGCAGUCUCUUCCCUCUCAGGAGAUGUUUCACAGCUUCCAUCUUUGUGGGAACUCUUCUGUAGAGCCGGGGACUGGGCGCCUCGUUGCUGACCACCCGUCUAGUGACCAGGAUCUGGUGUUCUCACCAGUGGGACCCAGCCUCCAUCUCUGGGAGCCCAGGCCCCGCUGCAGGCCGCGGACACCGAGAUUAGAAGGGGGCGCAGGAUGGCACGUGUUGGGUCGUCAAGUCUAACUGAAGGUCGGGAUGAGAUGGCAUAGCCCAGGCCAUCUCUGCUGGCGGGGCCCUGGGAGACCCCACGUGGACAGUCCCCUCCCUGUGAUGGAAGAUUCCCACCUUCCGGCUAGAAAGGAGAGGCAGAUUUCUCAAACACACAGCCCCCCAGAAUCAGUCACCCCUAAAUAAGGCAGGUGGUCUGUGGAGUGGCUGAGGGCGCUGGGGUGCGGGUGACCCCCCCCCCCGUCUCCUGUGUGAUGUGACAAGUGACAGCUGCUGGCCACUGUCCCCGCUGGGCCUCUUGGGGUCUGACACCUGCGUCCAUGGAGCUGGUGACUGAGGCCUCCCCGGCUGUGGUCUCCCCGCCUCGAGAGUGGCCUUGAGGGGACAGUGAUGCUGGGGUCCCUGUGCCUGCGGGCCCCACUGGCCUUCCCUCCCCAGGCCUCCCCGAGGGCAGGCGGGGCUGCUGCUCAGGGUCCAGCACGGGUCCUCACACAGCAGGCGAUUUAGCAAGAACACAGCUUGUCUGGGCUGUUCCAUUUAAUAAAAUUUUACAAAAGUCA